GGGAAAAACAGGGAUUUCUGUGAAAAUAAGCGAUAUUUUAGGGGAAAAACAGGGAUUUCUAUGAAAAUAAGCGAUAUUUAAAGGGAAAAACAGGGAUUUCUAUGAAAAUAAGCGAUAUUUAAGGUUAAAAACAGGGAUUUCUAGGAAAAUAAGUGACAUUUUAGGGUUAAAAACAGGGAUUUCUAUGAAAAUAAGCGAUAUUUAAGGGGAAAAACAGGGAUUUCUAUGAAAAUAAGCGAUAUUUAAGGGGAAAUAACAGGGAUUUCUAUGAAAAUAAGCGAUAUUUCAGGGGAAAAACAGGGAUUUCUAUGAAAAUAAGCGAUAUUUUAGGGGAAAAACAGGGAUUUCUAUGAAAAUAAGCGAUAUUUCAGGUUAAAAACAGGGAUUUCUAUGAAAAUAAGCGAUAUUUAAGGGGAAAAACAGGGAUUUCUAUGAAAAUAAGCGAUAUUUAAGGUUAAAAACAGGGAUUUCUAUGAAAAUAAGCGAUAUUUAAGGGUAGAAACAGGGAUUUCUGUGAAAAUAAGCGAUAUUUAAGGUUAAAAACAGGGAUUUCUAUGAAAAUAAGCGAUAUUUUAGGGGAAAAACAGGGAUUUCUAUGAAAAUAAGCGAUAUUUUAAGGG